UACGGAGGGUGCAAGCGUUAUCCGGAUUUACUGGGCUUAAAGGGUGCGUAGGCGGGCCUUUAAGUCAGUGGUGAAAGCUCCGAGCUUAACUCGGAAACUGCCAUUGAUACUAUUGGUCUUGAAUUCGGUCGAGGUUGGCGGAAUGUGUCGUGUAGCGGUGAAAUGCUUAGAUAUGACACAGAACACCGAUUGCGAAGGCAGCUAGCUAGACCGACAUUGACGCUGAGGCACGAAAGCGUGGGGAGCAAACAGG
rnacentral:rRNA from 1 species